rnacentral:rRNA from 1 species
GAUGAACGCUGGCGGCGUGCCUAAUACAUGCCAGUCGAGCGAACAGACGAGGAGCUUGCUCCUCUGACGUUAGCGGCGGACGGGUGAGUAACACGUGGAUAACCUACCUAUAAGACUGGGAUAACUUCGGGAAACCGGAGCUAAUACCGGAUAAUAUAUUGAACCGCAUGGUUCAAUAGUGAAAGACGGUUUUGCUGUCACUUAUAGAUGGAUCCGCGCCGCAUUAGCUAGUUGGUAAGGUAACGGCUUACCAAGGCAACGAUGCGUAGCCGACCUGAGAGGGUGAUCGGCCACACUGGAACUGAGACACGGUCCAGACUCCUACGGGAGGCAGCAGUAGGGAAUCUUCCGCAAUGGGCGAAAGCCUGACGGAGCAACGCCGCGUGAGUGAUGAAGGUCUUCGGAUCGUAAAACUCUGUUAUUAGGGAAGAACAAAUGUGUAAGUAACUAUGCACGUCUUGACGGUACCUAAUCAGGAAGCCACGGCUAACUACGUG